UCAACAUCCCAACCCUCCUGUGACCCAUGAAGACCAUAUGGAUCUUUCUUCACAGACAUACAUUCUACUGAGUGGUGCAAUUGAUUUCAUCAAGAAGAGCAUUCUGUCAAUAAGUCAAGAGUGAAAAGAUAACGGUUUGACUGUUCUCGUCCAAAGAGGCCCACGACCGGGAAACGAGGAAUGGAAACACGCGAACAAAUACGGAGGCACACAAGAGGGAAGAGAUCAAGGGAGGCAAGAGGACGGGAAAGGAGGAGAAUGGAGAAG